rnacentral:lncRNA from 1 species
CUCUCCUGAAUCUAUAUUGAAGAUAUUGACUGAAGUAGAUUUAUUUCAGGAGUGAAAAAAUAAGCAUAAAUUCACCCGGAGCCAGGCUUCGGAGGGCUGCAGCCCCUGCCGCUCCAAGGGUACACAUGAUUACACAGAUAUCUGGAGGUGCCUCCAGAUCUGAGGGCACGUGCCUGCUAUGCGCAUACUCCUUCUUCCUCACCAUGCGUGGCGGACUGAAUUAUGGCCCCCACAGACAUCCCCAGCCUAAUCUCAGGAACCUGUGAAGAAGGGAGGCUCAGACAGGUGAAGUCACGUGCCCAAGGUCACACAGCUGCUAAGGGGGCAAGCUGGGAUUCAGACACUGUUCUCGCUAAAUCUGAACUCUUUUCUUAAAAAAAAAUGAACAGUAACAACUAACCCUUAUACGGUCAUCACUAUGUGCUGCUCUUACUCAUUGAACCUGACAGCUCUACAACAUGGAGGAAGGCAAUUCUGGGGGCUGGAGCUGGGCCCCAGCUGACAGCCAGGUGGGACAGGGGGCCCUCAGUCCUACAAAUUCAAGGAUCUGCAUUCUGCCAACAACUCGAAUCAGCCAGGAAAAUGGAUUCUCUCCUGGAACCUACUGGACUUCCGUACUACAGAACUGUAAGAGAAUAAAUUUGCAUUGUUUUAAGCCUCAGUUUGUCAUAAUUCAUUACGGCAGAAAAGAAAAUGAAUACACUCCUCAGGCUCCCUUUCCUUUGGGAAUGAGGGACUGUGCUCAUCUCAGCCGUGAGUCGCUCCACACGCUCUGGACUCCCAGCCCUGAUCUCCUGAAUCAAUGUGCAAGAUCAUUUCCCACUGUCUCCAGCUGGAACGUGGACAGG